UCCCUCUCCCUCUUCCGAUCUCGACUCUCUCGAUCGAUCUCCAUCUCCUUCUUCUGAUCUCGACUCUCUCUCUCGAUCUCCCUCUCACUCUCCCUCCCUCUCUCGAUCUCCCUCUCCCUGCAACUUCCACCAACAACUGCAACAUCCAGCCAAUAUUGUAAAAGCAGCAGCAGAGCUCUGUAUGGGGUGUGUGAAUAUUAGUUAGCUUAUUGCCUUGAAGCUUUGGAGUGUGUACUUCGAGGAAUAGCAGGAAUUCAAGGGCCCGUGUAUGCAGAAAGUUAUAUAUGGGCAGCUUCCAGAUUGUAAAGCAUCCAAAUGUUCAAUUUUCAAUUCAAUGAAUGGUUGGAUUAGCUAAAAUUUUGGAUUUAUAUUAUGAAGAUCUGUACACCCUCCCUAACAAAUAGCUCUCAUCUGGGUUGGUUUCAGAAAUUUCAAAAUUAUCAAAGAGUAAGGUAUUGAAGUUCCCUUCUUCUUCUUCUUCUUCUUAAGGUCUGAGCAUUGAGUGAUGAGUGGAACUUGUAUAAUGACAUUGAAAAAAUAUGCAUUGUUAACAUCAGCAUCUAAUCUUUAGAUGGCUAUUUUAUUUUG